UCCCUGGUGGCUCAGAGGUUAAAGCGCCUGCCUGGAAUGCUGGACACCCAGGUUCAAUCCCUGGGUCGGGAA
rfam:TPA: Bos taurus chromosome 11, whole genome shotgun sequence.